GGAAAGUUGCAAAGAACUUUGAAGAGAGAGUUCAAGAGAACGUGAAAUCGCUUGUGUGGAACCGGAGAGAGUUAACGUAGUCUGGUGGCUAAGCUUUACGUCGGUCGUCUUUGAUGGCUUCGUGGAGUGUAUGCCGCCUAUGGCUGCGUCGGCGGCGUUGGUGGAGUCUGCUGAACCGUGUAGUGUUACCCACAUCUGUGGUGCUUUGCUUGCGGAUAGGCCGAUCUCUAGUAGCGUUACGUCACUGCUGUGCAGUGCGCCGAUGUGAAAGUUAACCACCUCUCCGACCCGUCUUGAAACACGGACCGAGGAGUGUAGCUUGUGCGUGAGUCACUGAGUGUUAAAACUCAACGGCGUAAUGAAAGUAAAGGCUGAUUAAUCAGCUGACAUAGGAUCCGUUCCUUGUGGGCGGCGCACUAUGGCCCUGUCUCGGUUGCUUGCAAUUGGGCAGAGGAAGAACGUACAGGCUGCGACCCGAAAGAUGGUGAACUAUGCUUGAGCAGGACGAAGCCAGAGGAAACUCUGGUGGAAGUCCGUAUCGGUUCUGACGUGCAAAUCGAUCGAUAGACUUGGGUAUAGGGGCGAAAGACUAAUCGAACCAUCUAGUAGCUGG
rnacentral:rRNA from 1 species